rnacentral:lncRNA from 1 species
GGGGAGAAAGGGGGGGUAAGCAAUAUCUUCCAGAGCACUCUCUUGCUUGCGAUUAUUAUCUCUCCUUCUCCUCCAAUCUCCUCUGACUUGAUCGUCGGAGGGCCCCCACUACCCCAGUGGUGGUGCGAGGCUUGCUCGCAGGUUUUCCGGUGGAAGGUGGAGCGUAACCAACACCAACCAAGACAACUCAGACGGAACCCCGUUCACACCGCUGUGUCAAUCGUUCUCGGCUUGGACCACCAGCAACAGAUCCCACAAUCCCUUCGCCGGCGUCAUCACCGCUGUCAUUCUACUGGCCGCCUUCCCAUUGGAUGCUUCCAGGUUGACGGCGACUAUGACGACGGUAGCCACUGGGUUCUGUCCUUCACUCAGGUCGUCAACAACCGCGUUAUGAACCCUAUCACCACUUUGUGAACGACGCCAGCAAGAACUUGGACUUUUGCAUCAACGACCGGUUAGAUCGAAGAAGGUAGCUGCGAUCGAGGAGAUUGAAGGACAGCACCAGAACGCCGCCUUCCGGAGGACGAAGAUCCAGCUGCUGCCUCCUGAAUCAAGUGAAUAGGGCACCGGGCGGGUCGUGGGCAAUGUAUCAUAGAAUUCCAAGCUGAGGUUGGGCUCGGGCCGAGCUGAUGUCAAUCAGAGGCCAGCUGGUCUAGUAGACAGACUCAAAUUUCAGGCCCAUCCGGUCCGUUGGGCUUAAUCAGAUCCAGAACCGUCCAAAACGUUUCGAGCUCCAGGCUCAACUGCCACUCAACGUUGCAUCCAGCCAAUCGCAGGCAUGGAGAUAAACACGAGUGGUGAGACUAUGUCUCUGGACUGCAACUUACCAGGCGUCGCAUCCUCCCAAUCGCAGGCACAGAGAGGGCCAUGGGGCGGCAUAAGCGCUUGCUGCAGCCACGACCAAAAGUAGCUCCCUCCACUCGAUGCCUGUAUGGUUUGCUCCAGUUCCCC